rnacentral:rRNA from 1 species
GAUGAACGCUAGCGGCAGGCCUAAUACAUGCAAGUCGAGGGGUAGAAGAGGCUUGCUUCUUUGAGACCGGCGCACGGGUGCGUAACGCGUAUGCAACCUACCUUCAUCUGGGGGAUAGCCCGGAGAAAUCCGGAUUAAUACCGCAUAAAAUCACAGGAUGGCAUUAUCCAAUGAUCAAACAUUUAUGGGAUGGAGAUGGGCAUGCGUGUCAUUAGCUAGUUGGCGGGGUAACGGCCCACCAAGGCGACGAUGACUAGGGGAUCUGAGAGGAUGGCCCCCCACACUGGUACUGAGACACGGACCAGACUCCUACGGGAGGCAGCAGUAAGGAAUAUUGGUCAAUGGAGGCAACUCUGAACCAGCCAUGCCGCGUGCAGGAAGACUGCCCUAUGGGUUGUAAACUGCUUUUAUUCGGGAAUAAACCUUAUUACGUGUAAUAAGCUGAAUGUACCGAAGGAAUAAGGAUCGGCUAACUCCGUGCCAGCCGCCGCCGUAA